GCCACUGGCCCAGCAGAUGGGGUUAAGUAAGCCUCUCUAAGGUCAGGGUGAUCCAAAACAACUACUGUAUAUGCAUUCUUGUGGCUGUCGAUUGCAUUGGGACGGACUUGCCUGAUUUUCAAUCCUAGUUUCAAGAGCUUGACAUGUCCAUGCUCAUUUACUUUACUCAGAAGAUGAGCAGAGAAUUGACUUCAAAUAUUUCCUCAUCUACUGCUCUCUCCAAGGUUUGCUUCUGAGCUGAGAAAUGACAACUGAAGGUAAUUAACAUACCCAGAACCAUUCAAUUACGAAAUCUAAACUCAGUCAUGUUAUAGCUUGGGAUGGAAAUGGAGAGACGGCUCUUCAUAUAUUGGCAAGGAAGCCUCUGGCAUUUGUAAGUGAGAGUCAGCUUGGGAUUUGGCAGAGGGGAGGUUAAAAGGAAUUGCUUUACUGCUUAUUUCUCCUUGUCGUCUUGCAGAUAUUUGUGAUUUUGCAUUCUUAAGAGUUAAUUAGAGGCACCAACCGAGGGAACAACGCCUUUGUGUAUGUGCAGAAAUUUAUGAACAAAUUUCAUCAAGGAUUUAAGGGAAGCUGUUAAAUGUUUGAAGAAAUUUAGUUCUUUUUAUGCAAAUUCUGAAAGCGAUACUCAAGGCAGAGAAACUAGGAUUGAGGAGACUAAAAAGAUGGGGCAACUACUAAGUCCACAGUGAUGGAUUUGACAAUUGAAGACAAAAAUUGUUUGUCUUACAAAAAUUCCUUUUGUUAAUUAAUUCAAAAUCUCAAAUAAUAGUUACAAGUUUUGGUCAUCAUGUAAAACCUGAAGAAAAAUCAGCCCACGAAAAAGCCACCUAAAGUUCAACCUACAGGGAAUCGUGACCAUGGUUGUCAAAUCGAGUAUCGUAUU